AACGAACGCUGGCGGCAGGCCUAACACAUGCCAGUCGAGCGCGCCCUUCGGGGUGAGCGGCGGACGGGUGAGUAACGCGUGGGAACGUGCCCUUUUCUACGGAAUAGCCUCGGGAAACUGAGAGUAAUACCGUAUACGCCCUUUGGGGGAAAGAUUUAUCGGAAAAGGAUCGGCCCGCGUUGGAUUAGGUAGUUGGUGGGGUAAUGGCCUACCAAGCCGACGAUCCAUAGCUGGUUUGAGAGGAUGAUCAGCCACACUGGGACUGAGACACGGCCCAGACUCCUACGGGAGGCAGCAGUGGGGAAUCUUAGACAAUGGGGGCAACCCUGAUCUAGCCAUGCCGCGUGAGUGAUGAAGGCCUUAGGGUUGUAAAUCUCUUUCAGCUGGGAAGAUAAUGACGGUACCAGCAGAAGAAGCCCCGGCUAACUCCGUG
rnacentral:rRNA from 1 species